rnacentral:rRNA from 1 species
AUGGUGUUUUAUCUGCCAGACACUCUUUUGCACGGAAAAUGGCGAGUUGUGCAAAACUUUGAGCACAGACACUUGUGGAGUGUGACUGAAACUGAAGUGGAAAAGGGCCCCGGUGAUGGUGGACUAACAUACCAGGAUGAUGACUCUACGGAAGUUCCGUUGCAAGCUGAUGAUGACUCUAUGGAAGUUCUGGUGCAAAGCAGAGUGCGAAGGGACCGGGAACGUGUGCUCGUUGAUGCUGCAACAGUUGAAGGCAUCAAGAAAAGAAGAAAGGUGGUAGCGGAUGGACAUGAGAGCGAGGAUGAGGAAAACAUGACUGAUCAUACUAUGCUGCAAUAUUGUAGUGAUGACGAGGAAAACAGAGUGGGCAUAGAGUUCCUUGUUUUCGUAUAG